GAGUGGUGAUUGACGUGCAUGGGUACGUUGGAUCCCUGCUAGGGCAGCGACAGCGUACCUUGCUCGUCACUUCAGUCUUUGGCAUAGGCGCGCUGAGCCUUUGUCUAAUGAUGUUUUCCUGUGCUAUAUUCCAAUAAAAGGGCAUUGAAUUUGUUCAAUUGCAUCAGUUCGCUUCUCGUUGCGUCCCCUCGGAUUUUGGCAUGCAGUGAACUUUAAAGCAUUUAUCGUGUUCCACUUUCCUUGCAUGCGCACGUGCUUGGGUUGUUGGGCCAUGAUCCUUGCUUGAUCUCUCGGUUGCGGAAUACCUUGUGGGCAAGAGGCACACUAGUCCUCUAUUUGGCCCUUAUCUAGCAUUUAACGCUAUGUGCAAAUGACGGUUGCGGUCGUCUUGACUGGGUCUUUAUUAUGGCUUGGCUCAUACGGUCUCAACGUCGAUGAGGAAUGCUACCUGGUUGAUCCUGCCAGUAGUCAUAUGCUUGUCUCAAAGAUUAAGCCAUG
rnacentral:misc_RNA from 1 species